UAAUGUUCAUUUUUUUUUCUUUUUCAAAAAAAAAAUUUAGAUUACAUAUAUAUAUGUCUAUAAAAACUAGAUAGCCAAAAGAACUUCAUGCAGAAUACAAAUUUGAAUUUGGUGAACCUAACUUAUAAAGCAAUUGUACGAAAUUUAUCGGGAUAUUGCUUACUUAAAGGAGAAACGGUUGUUGCCGUAGGCAUCUCAAAUGUCAAUAAUGCUUCUGCAUGUUCUGUACUCAUUAAAUCGUCAAUUAUUUUCAAACCAUCUUCACCGCCCAAAUUAACAGCUUCUUCCAAUUUCUUGUUAAACGCAAGAAGCAUUUUUUUAGUAGACAAACGACUUAGUAGUAAGUUUUUUCCACGAAGAUCGAGUUCAGAUAAUUCUAAAGAACACAUCUUUUCGAGUUGUUCAAGCACCUUCAUUUUAAGCUGUAACUUCUCAAGCUGAGCCUGGAUUAACGAAAAAACCAAGCGUCGAAGC